AAGUCGUAACAAGGUUUCCGUAGGUGAACCUGCGGAAGGAUCAUUACCUAGAGUUGUAGGCUUUGCCUGCUAUCUCUUACCUAUGUCUUUUGAGUACCUUCGUUUCCUUGGUGGGUCCGCCCGCCGACUGGACAAUUUAAACCAUUUGCAGUUGCAAUCAGCGUCUAAAAAAACUUAAUAGUUACAACUUUCAACAACGGAUCUCUUGGUUCUG
rnacentral:misc_RNA from 1 species